GGGUUGUGAGGUUAAGCGACUAAGCGUACACGGUGGAUGCCUAGGCAGUCAGAGGCGAUGAAGGGCGUGCUAAUCUGCGAAAAGCGUCGGUAAGGUGAUAUGAACCGUUACAACCGACGAUACCCGAAUGGGGAAACCCAGUGCAAUUCGUUGCACUAUUGCAUGGUGAAUACAUAGCCAUGCAAGGCGAACCGGGGGAACUGAAACAUCUAAGUACCCCGAGGAAAAGAAAUCAACCGAGAUUCCCCUAGUAGCGGCGAGCGAACGGGGAGGAGCCCAGAGUCUGAAUCAGUUUGUGUGUUAGUGGAAGCGUCUGGAAAGUCGCACGGUACAGGGUGAUAGUCCCGUACACAAAAACACACCUGCUGUGAACUCGAUGAGUAGGGCGGGACACGUGACAUCCUGUCUGAAUAUGGGGGGACCAUCCUCCAAGGCUAAAUACUCCUGACUGACCGAUAGUGAACCAGUACCGUGAGGGAAAGGCGAAAAGAACCCCGGCGAGGGGAGUGAAAUAGAACCUGAAACCGUGUACGUACAAGCAGUGGGAGCACCUUCGUGGUGUGACUGCGUACCUUUUGUAUAAUGGGUCAGCGACUUAUAUUUUGUAGCAAGGUUAACCGAAUAGGGGAGCCGUAGGGAAACCGAGUCUUAACUGGGCGUCUAGUUGCAAGGUAUAGACCCGAAACCCGGUGAUCUAGCCAUGGGCAGGUUGAAGGUUGGGUAACACUAACUGGAGGACCGAACCGACUAAUGUUGAAAAAUUAGCGGAUGACUUGUGGCUGGGGGUGAAAGGCCAAUCAAACCGGGAGAUAGCUGGUUCUCCCCGAAAGCUAUUUAGGUAGCGCCUCGUGAACUCAUCUUCGGGGGUAGAGCACUGUUUCGGCUAGGGGGCCAUCCCGGCUUACCAAACCGAUGCAAACUCCGAAUACCGAAGAAUGUUAUCACGGGAGACACACGGCGGGUGCUAACGUCCGUCGUGAAGAGGGAAACAACCCAGACCGCCAGCUAAGGUCCCAAAGUCAUGGUUAAGUGGGAAACGAUGUGGGAAGGCAUAGACAGCCAGGAUGUUGGCUUAGAAGCAGCCAUCAUUUAAAGAAAGCGUAAUAGCUCACUGGUCGAGUCGGCCUGCGCGGAAGAUGUAACGGGGCUAAACCAUGCACCGAAGCUGCGGCAGCGACACUUAGGUGUUGUUGGGUAGGGGAGCGUUCUGUAAGCCGUUGAAGGUGACCUGUGAGGGUUGCUGGAGGUAUCAGAAGUGCGAAUGCUGACAUAAGUAACGAUAAUGCGGGUGAAAAACCCGCACGCCGGAAGACCAAGGGUUCCUGUCCAACGUUAAUCGGGGCAGGGUGAGUCGACCCCUAAGGCGAGGCUGAAAAGCGUAGUCGAUGGGAAACAGGUUAAUAUUCCUGUACUUGGUGUUACUGCGAAGGGGGGACGGAGAAGGCUAGGCUAGCCGGGCGACGGUUGUCCCGGUUUAAGCAUGUAGGCGGAGUGACUUGGUAAAUCCGGUUGCUUAUCAACGCUGAGGUGUGAUGACGAGCCACUACGGUGGUGAAGUAGUUGAUGCCAAGCUUCCAGGAAAAGCCUCUAAGCAUCAGGUAACAUUAAAUCGUACCCCAAACCGACACAGGUGGUCAGGUAGAGAAUACUCAGGCGCUUGAGAGAACUCGGGUGAAGGAACUAGGCAAAAUGGUGCCGUAACUUCGGGAGAAGGCACGCUGGCAUUAGGUAAAGAGACUUGCUCUCGGAGCUGAAGCCAGUCGCAGAUACCAGCUGGCUGCAACUGUUUAAUAAAAACACAGCACUGUGCAAACACGAAAGUGGACGUAUACGGUGUGACGCCUGCCCGGUGCUGGAAGGUUAAUUGAUGGGGUCAGCCUUACGGCGAAGCUCUUGAUCGAAGCCCCAGUAAACGGCGGCCGUAACUAUAACGGUCCUAAGGUAGCGAAAUUCCUUGUCGGGUAAGUUCCGACCUGCACGAAUGGCGUAAUGAUGGCCAGGCUGUCUCCACCCGAGACUCAGUGAAAUUGAACUCGCUGUGAAGAUGCAGUGUACCCGCGGCAAGACGGAAAGACCCCGUGAACCUUUACUAUAGCUUGACACUGAACAUUGAGCCUUGAUGUGUAGGAUAGGUGGGAGGCAUUGAAGUGUGGACGCCAGUCUGCAUGGAGCCAACCUUGAAAUACCACCCUUUAAUGUUUGAUGUUCUAACUCGGCCCCGUGAUCCGGGGUGAGGACAGUGUCUGGUGGGUAGUUUGACUGGGGCGGUCUCCUCCCAAAGAGUAACGGAGGAGCACGAAGGUUAGCUAAUCACGGUCGGACAUCGUGAGGUUAGUGCAAAGGCAUAAGCUAGCUUGACUGCGAGAGUGACGGCUCGAGCAGGUACGAAAGUAGGUCUUAGUGAUCCGGUGGUUCUGAAUGGAAGGGCCAUCGCUCAACGGAUAAAAGGUACUCCGGGGAUAACAGGCUGAUACCGCCCAAGAGUUCAUAUCGACGGCGGUGUUUGGCACCUCGAUGUCGGCUCAUCACAUCCUGGGGCUGAAGUAGGUCCCAAGGGUAUGGCUGUUCGCCAUUUAAAGUGGUACGCGAGCUGGGUUUAGAACGUCGUGAGACAGUUCGGUCCCUAUCUGCCGUGGGCGUUGGAAGAUUGAGAGGGGCUGCUCCUAGUACGAGAGGACCGGAGUGGACGAAUCACUGGUGUUCGGGUUGUCAUGCCAAUGGCAUUGCCCGGUAGCUAAAUUCGGAAGAGAUAACCGCUGAAAGCAUCUAAGCGGGAAACUUGCCUCGAGAUGAGUCUUCCCUGGGGCUUUAAGCCCCCUGAAGGAACGUUAAAGACUAUGACGUUGAUAGGCUGGGUGUGUAAGUGCAGCGAUGCAUUGAGCUAACCAGUACUAAUGAUCCGUGAGGCUUAACCUUACAACACCAAAGGUGUUUUG
rnacentral:rRNA from 1 species